GGGUAGGUAGCUCAGUAGGUAGAGCAACGGACUGAAAAUCCGUGUGUCGGCGGUUCGAUCCCGCCCCUGCCCA
rnacentral:tRNA from 1 species